CGAAAAGGGCUGCUCUCAUCAGCCACACUUUCAGCAAGAAUCAUUUACUGCUGGAGACGAGCUGUACCACUUGAGGCUCAAGGGACUUGCCCAGGACACAGAGCUUCUAGGAGUCCGGUCGGGAGCUGCACUGAAGUCUGUCUGACUCUCCAGCCCACUGUACUAACCACUGCCCUGCACUGUCUCCCAGCCCGGGCCCUUUUCUCUUAAUCUGCACAGUGAUUGGAGGAAGAGAUAAAACUCGCUCAGCCCAGGCCACCUUGAGAAACGAUGCCCUGGGUUUUUGGUGCCUCUCACUGCAACAUUCCAGUAGCAGCCAGCCAGUUGCAAGAAAGAAUCAGGAGCCAGGGACCCCUAUGAUUCUAAGACCGUUUUCCCGAAAACCUUUUUAAAGUUGGGAAAAAGUUUUGAGGCAAGCACAAGGAGGCAAGGGCCCAGCUUAGAAGAAACAAGCUGUGACAUGAAGAAUUUCAGAAAGAAAAAAACAGAUGAAGAUACAGACCAUAAGAACAAGGAAUAUUAGCUGUGGGAGAUCUGGUCUGGGAUGGCUUCCUGGAAGAG